UACAGAGGUCUCAAGCGUUGUUCGGAUUCAUUGGGCGUAAAGCGCGUGUAGGCGGCCCGGUAAGUCCGCUGUGAAAGUCGGGGGGCUCAACCCUCGGAUGCCGAUCGAUACUGUCGGGCUAGAGUCCGGAAGAGGCGAGUGGAAUUCCCGGUGUAGCGGUGAAAUGCGCAGAGAUCGGGAGGAACACCCGUAGCGAAGGCGGCACUCUGGGCCGGUACUGACGCUGAGGAGCGAAAGCGUGGGGGAGCAAACAGG
rnacentral:rRNA from 1 species